rnacentral:lncRNA from 1 species
GAAGAGGAGGAUUAGAGCGGCUUAAGCCGGGCAGGGCGGCAGGGAGGGGGCUGGGGGUAAAGCCGCCGCCUCCAGCCGGCGGAUUUCCAGGCGGCAGCCCCUAAUCCCGGAGCGGGUGGCGAAGUGGGGCAGCGGUGGGGGUGAGGAGGGGAGAAGGUAGAGGGGGGUGUUAACGGCCAACGGCCGCUCCCUAACGGCGCCAACGGCUGUCAGCGCCCGGGAAUGCGCGGCCGCCGCCGCCGCCGUCCGAAUCACCCCGCCACUGCCUCGGUCCCGCCCCCCCAGCCUCCCCAGACCAGCCAAUCGGCGGCGGCGGAGCGGCGGGGGCUCGUCGCGAUUGGCUGGCCUCCUGCCAAUCUCCUGUGAACGGGAUGGCGCGGGGUGAUAGUGACCGCACCUGGUUACGCGCACCCCCCACGUCCCGCCCCCCCCCCAGGCGGACUACAUAUCCCAGAGAGCACUGCGGCACGUUCCCGCGCAGGGAGGAGGUGGCCGCGCGGCGAGAGGUGCUUGACAGAACAAAUACACUCUUCCAAUAGCUUCCUUGGUCAAGAUUAAUCAUAACUGAGGAGAACAUGUGAGAAUGAAUCAGUAAUACCGUAACUGUGCAGAGAUUAUACAUGGAGCAUGCAUAUUGGCUGGAGGACGCAUAUAGCUUGAAACAGGAAUAGAGUAACAAGAUACGGGAUCCUCUGAGGAAGAACAGCAUGCACCAAAGCAAGAGCAGCAUGCAGCUCAGCAUCCGGAGCAGCAGGCAGAAGGUAAUUAAUGUUCCCCUUACUUCUUUUGCUGAAAUCUGUCAUCAUUACGGACAUGAAGCUGCUUUAAAAACUUCAGGAAAUGAUAAGUUACAAAUAUACUGUCCCAUUGGAUGGACUUAACUUGCAUGGUGAUUAAGGAUGAAUGCUGCUACUAACCCAAGUUUUCUAGCACAUUUUCUCGGCAAAAUGUACUCCAUCUUUCUCUUUUCAUCUUUCUCUCACCACCCCCUUCUUUCUGUUAAAAUAUACUGAUUUAAUCACUAUUAAAACUUCAACCUUGUGUCCUUUUGAAAUAUGAAAAAAAAAUGAACUCUCUCUCUACUCAGUGCAUGACAUCAGUCCCAUCAUGGAUUUGUUAGGUUUCUAAAUGCGUACCUUUGUGCAUUCUCCCCAGAUACCAUUAACUAUAUGAGGAAGUCAUCUGUAGGCACCAGCAAGAAAUUUCAUUAUUCCUUUUAAAAUCUUUCUUUAAAAUUCUCCUUUACCAGUAUGCCAACAAAAAUGUAGAUUUUAAUUGCAAGCCUCUCUCACUGAUAGAUCUUGCUUCUGAUCUGUUCACUAUCUCCUUCUACAAAGAGACAUCAAGGUUUCAGGGGAAAUUGCCUUGUUUUUGUUCAAAAUGCUUUCAGCUCAAGGACCCUGGCAUUUUACAAUAAUAAACACCAUGAUUAAUGCA